UACGGAGGGGGUUAGCGUUGUUCGGAAUUACUGGGCGUAAAGCGCACGUAGGCGGAUUGGAAAGUAUGGGGUGAAAUCCCAGGGCUCAACCCUGGAACUGCCUUGUAAACUCCCAGUCUAGAGUUCGAGAGAGGUGAGUGGAAUUCCAAGUGUAGAGGUGAAAUUCGUAGAUAUUUGGAGGAACACCAGUGGCGAAGGCGGCUCACUGGCUCGAUACUGACGCUGAGGUGAGAAAGUGUGGGGAGCAAACAGG
rnacentral:rRNA from 1 species